GAUGAACGCUAGCGGCAGGCCUAAUACAUGCAAGACGAACGGUAAGAUUGAUAGCAAUAUUGAUCCUAGAGUGUCGUACGGGUGCGUAACACGUAUGCAACCUACCUUGUACAGGAGUAUAGCUCGGGGAAACUCGAAUUAACCCUCCAUAAUAUAAUUGAGUGGCAUCAUUUAAUUAUUAAAACUACGGUGUACAAGAU
rnacentral:rRNA from 1 species